rnacentral:lncRNA from 1 species
GCAAUUAAAAAAAAUCUCUAGACAAUAAAACAUUGGGAUAGAAUAGUAGGACUAAAUUUCAAACUCUUAAAAACCUUCUCUCUUAUAUACAAGGUGAACUAUUAAGUCCAAUUCACUAUAAGCCAAUUUAAAAAUACGGUCUACAAGCAGAAGUGGGGUUCUACAAGCUACGGGUCCCCGUCCUCCUCUUCAUUAUCCUCCACGCUCCAACUGAAGCCCUCAGCAGACUGCACCGAACUUUCGAGAUCUUCAAAAUCCAAGUCUACUUCAUCCAGGGAUCUGAAAUGGUUAUUCAAUAACUAAUGGGAUAAUGUCUCAGCAAGUUCUACCCCCUAAGACCCGAUUAGUAAACUAAUACACCUUAAGGCCGCCUAUGCAUAACAUUAGUCAGAGAACUUACCUUGAUCUCCGAUUCCACCUGCAUAUUAGUACAGAUCAAAUAAGCACUCAAGCAACCACAUCACUGAUCGUAGCAUCGAUCAAAUCAACAUAGUCGAUUACAUCUCACUCGAACCAUUCACCAGUCGUUUCCAUUUAAUCAAUCAAUUUACGACAUUAGAUCAAAGCAAUGAUCAAUCGACUUAGUCGAUUACAUAUCAAACAGACCAACUCUAGGUCAUUCCUAGACAUCAAUCACAUGUACUCUCUCGGGCGUCCUUUUCGCCAACUGCCAUACCAUCACCGAUCAUGUGCAUUCUUUAAGACGCCGUUUUCGCCAGUGAUAUCCCAAUCACCGAAUCACGUAUCAUUUCUAGGGCGAUGUUUUCGCCAAGGUGAGGUAUGCAAUGGACAGUACCCGUGCGUUCUUUAAGGCGCCGUUUUCGCCAGUGAUACCCUCCAUCACCGAACCACGUAUGUCCAUAAUGAAGCAACGGAUAGACAGCACUCGUGCGUUCUUUAAGGCGCCAUUUUCGCCAGUGAUAUCCUUAAUCACCGAACCACGUAUGUCUAUAAGUCACGUACAUUCUUUCUCUCUGGCGCCGUUUUUGCCAACGUGAUAUAUGUAAUGGGCAGCAACGUGCGUUCUUUAAGGCGCCGUUUUCACCAGUGAUAUCCUUAAUCACCGAACCACAUUUGUCCACUUACAUCAUACCUGAUUGGUCUCGGCCGAGAAUUUCCCCAAUUCACUCUCAAAAUUUUCUCUUCUUUACAGCUCAUCAAAGCAUUAUCAAUGCUAAAUAAUCACACUCGGCUAUCUAUCAAUCAAUCAUUCAAUUCCACUCAAUUUCAAUCAAUUAAGGAACAAUUCCUCAAAUUGCACAAUCAAUUCAAUUCAGCAUAAUGUGGAGCUCAAAUAAAUAAACGGACUGCACCACGACAAUCAGCACGAAAUUCCGUUCAUCGGCCAUCCCGGUUGAAUUUCGGGAAAAAUAAAUAAUUAUAUAAUUAAAUUCGAAAAUUAAAUAAAUAAAUAUUAAAAAUCCAAUUUAUGCCCAUGGUGCCUAAUUGGAACCUGAAACGGGUCGGGAAAACCCCAAGAUGCAUUCAAUAAAUAUUAGAAGUUCUCUACUUGCUAAUGACUAAGUCUAACCACCUAACAUGCAUCAUUAAGUCACUAAUUUAAUUGUUCUAAACUAAUCUAACCACCUAAUUGCACUUAAUUAAAUCUAAUCAACCCUUAGGCAUAAUUAGCAAACUAAGAAGGCAUUAGUGAGUAAAGCUCACUUGGCAAAGUGAAGACCGAAACACCGCAACGACGACGCGAUGGCAGCAGAAAUCCAAACUUUAGGCGGCGUCGGCGGAUACUCAGGCCGGGCCUACAAGCCUUGCAAGCCCACAUAAAAUCACUGGGCUUGUACUUGGGCUUGGGCUACUUUGCGGGCUUCAAAGAGCUGGGCCGAACAGCUGCUGCGGAGAUGGGCUUCACUGGACUUGAUGGGCUGAAGAAAGGACUGGACUGGGCUGAACCAAGGCUAAAAACAGGCCCAGCUGUUGGGCCGAAAUUGCUGGAUUCCACGGGCUGAAAUUGUUGGCUCGUGGACUGGAAUUGCUGGGCUUCACUUGCCGAAAAUAGGCUAAGCUGAUGGAGGUGGGCUCAAACUUGUUGGGCCGCUGAAACACCGAACUAGCUUGCUGCGACAAAGACGUGAAUCUUGCUGGAUUUCUAUUUGCUUUCGUUCACGGUGAUGCUGCUCCACUUGGUGGAUCGUUGGACGUGGCAAAGAAAUCUGGUGGACAUUGAAGAUGUUGCAGGAGAUGGUAAAGACGCGUGGAUCGGUGAAGCAGAAGGAAAUCAAUUUCUGGCGUCUUCAAUUGAGGGCUUCGUCAAGGGGGUUUUGACCGAGAGUGGAGAUGGCUGACGAUGGCUUCGCGAGCAAGAGAUGUGGACCAAGAGGGAUAUGAGGACGAGCUACAGAGAAGAAGCAGCUUCGGUGCUGCUUCUACUAGUGUCUUCGAUGGAGAAUGGACGGAGAACAAGAACUGCAGGGAAAUUGACGAAGGAGAGAGAGAUCGUGGGGCGCUGAGGUCUUCCACCGGAUGAAGGAAAAAGUAGAAAUUAAAAGAAAUGGGUUGGGGGCAGUUGUACGUGAAGAUAAGAGCAAGAUGAAAGAGAUAAGGUGGAGUGUGU